rnacentral:tRNA from 1 species
GCCCCCGUAGCCCAAUCGGCAGAGGCAGUCGACUUAAAAUCGACCCAGUGCGGGUUCGAUCCCCGUCGGGGGCA